CGGUUGAGAACAGUUUGAAGAGGUGGGGCGUAACUUUUGAGGGAUAGCGGACAGCGGGCGAUCGAGACGAAGUAGGAGGGUAUAGCUUUGGACGGGUAUCGGGCAGAGCGAGAGGCGUUUCAAAUAUUAGGGCCGCGGCCUAGCUCUCUCUCUAUCUCUCUCCCACGUGGCACGUACCAAAUUAGACACCGCGCUGACGCCCUCGCGCCCGCGCGCGCAAUUUAUACCCGUAGGACCUAGUGAGCCUCCUGCUCCUCCUCCUCCCCUCGGUGAUGCCGCCGUCGCCGCCUCCGCGCUCCAAGCCGCGCGCCGCCGUCUUCGGCUCCAGGUUCUCGGUGGUGGUCGACGACGAGUACCUGUCGCAGCCGCCGCCGCGCCUGCCCCUCACGCGCAGCCUCCUCCUCCUCCAGCACGGCGACGGCCUCAUGCUCGCCGACAGGGUCAGGCGCGCGGAGGGCCCGCUGCUGCUGCUGGGCCGACCGCGGCUCCGGGGCGGAGGAGGCCGGCUCGCCUCGCGCAGGGACUGCGGGGGCGGCGCCGUCGUCGUCGUCGUCUUCGGCCGCCGCACCGCCGACGAGGUCAUGCACGCCAGGUACGUGUCCAGAAGCCGCCCCCGGCACCACCGGCCGCCCAUGACGCCGCCGAGCAGCCUGCCGCUGAGGUUCUCGAGGCUGCCUCUGUUCCUCCCCUAGCUGCCGCUAUUCCUUUCCCAGCUGCCGCUGCCGCUGCCGCUGCCGCUCCCCUCCUUCCUGUUCGUCGCCUUCUUCUUCGCGAGGAGCACCGACGGCCUGGGGCUGGCGGCCACCGGCCACGUCCCCAAGAUGAUCCCCAGAAGCGGCACACAGCACCUGAACAGCAGCGCAAAUUAAGAGAAGCAACUAGCAUGACACAGACAUGCACAUGCAGCUUCGACCAUGGGUACUGCACAGUGGAUGAGACCCAGAAGCGACUAGAACAAGCUCAAACAAAGGAAAGGGAAAGGACCACUAAAGCUACAGCUACUACUCGUCUUUUUUCUCAUAAAGAGAAUAGGUG
rnacentral:rRNA from 1 species